CGUAAGGCGCCGAAUGAGUCAUUAAAAAAUUAACAUCAUCCGAUCCCUAGUCGGCAUAGUUUAUGGUUAAGACUACGACGGUAUCUGAUCGUCUUCGAUCCCCCUAACUUUCGUUCUUGAUUAAUGAAAACAUCCUUGGCAAAUGCUUUCGCAGUAGUUAGUCUUCAAUAAAUCCAAGAAUUUCACCUCUGACAAUUGAAUACUAAUGCCCCCAACUAUCCCUAUUAAUCAUUACGUCAAUCCCUAGAAACCAACAAAAUAGGAUCGAACGUCCUAUUUCAUUAUUCCAUGCUAAUGUAUUCAAGCGUUAGCUUGCUUUAAACACUCUAAUUUUUCAAGUAACAGUCCAAAUUCCCCGCAACACCAAAUUAAUGGCAUUACGGUUCAUCAGGAAGGAGGAAUCAGUGAGACCAGUACAUACCAGAGGCAUGACCAACCUACUAACCCCGAAAUUCAACUACGAGCUUUUUAACUGCAACAACUUUAAUAUACGCUAUUGGAGCUGGAAUUACCGCGGCUG
rnacentral:rRNA from 1 species